ensembl:lncRNA
UAGAGCUCCACCUUCUCUCCAGCCCAGGUAGUAGAGCUCCACCUUCUCUCCAGCCCAGGUAGUAGAUCUCCACCUUCUCUCCAGCCCAGGUAGUAGAUCUCCACCUUCUCUCCAGCCCAGGUAGUAGAGCUCCACCUUCUCUCCAUCCCAGGUAGUAGAGCUCCACCUUCUAACCAGCCCAGGUAGUAGAGCUCCACAUUCUCUCCAGCCCAGGUAGUAGAGCUCCACCUUCUAACCAGCCCAGGUAGUAGAGCUCCACAUUCUCUCCAGCCCAGGUAGUAGAGCUCCACCUUCUAACCAGCCCAGGUAGUAGAGCUCCACCUUCUCUCCAGCCCAGGUAGUAGAUCUCCACCUUCUCUCCAGCCCAGGUAGUAGAUCUCCACCUUCUCUCCAGCCCAGGUAGUAGAUCUCCACCUUCUAACCAGCCCAGGUAGUAGAUCUCCACAUUCUCUCCAGCCCAGGUAGUAGAUCUCCACCUUCUAACCAGCCCAUGCAGUAGAGCUCCACCUUCU